rnacentral:rRNA from 1 species
UGNNACGGAAAAAGGGGGCCGACAUGCUAAGGAGAGGACUGCCGGGUUGACGAGAACCGNAGGGAAGGUGGGGGAUGGACAGGUGCGAAGUCCUCAUGGCCCUGUAUGGGUAGGGCGUUCGACNACGUNANACGAAUGGUGCAUACAGAGGGUUGCCCAAGCCGUCGAGGUGGAGACUAAAUCCCAGUAAANAUGCAUUNGUNAGGUCCGGAAUCGGUAGUUCUGGCGAAAACUACGAACUAACNUGAAAGGUUUGGGA